rnacentral:lncRNA from 1 species
UGGAUAUAGCCGUUCGUUCCACGCUGGUUAAACUGGCGUGGAACAAAUAAAUUUGUUGGAAAUAGUUCCACGCUGGUUAGACCUGCGUGGAAUUAAAAAAAAAAAAAAAGUUACACGCUGGUUGAACCAACGUGGAAGAUGUUAUUUUUGCCAUUUCCUAUAAUCCUAUCUCUGGUUCGAUUUUGGACGAAGUUUUAGCAAACCGGCCCCCCACAUCCUACGUGGAUAACCGGCUGCUAAAAAUAUAGGAGACGCGUUAGGGUCGUGAUAUUUUGGGAUUUCCUAAAUUUUAGGAAAUAGGAGACCCAUUAGAGAUGCUCUUAGGGUUACCCCUGAUAUAGGUAUAGGAGACGUGAAAAAAAAAAUGAUGGGAAAGUAGGUGGCACCUACGUGUAUGCUAAAUCGUCCCAUGUGUCGGCAAUAUUUGGGAGACCCAUUAGAGAUGCUCUGAUAUAGGUAUAGGAGACGUGCAAAAAAAAAUGUUGGGAAAGUAGGUGGCACCUACGUGUAUGCCAUAUCUGCCUAUGUGUCGGCAAUAUAUGGGAGACCCAUUAGAGAUAACAUAAUCCAUUUCCAUUCCGUAAAACAAAACCCUAAAAAUCGUCAUUCUCCGCAACUUCUUUCUCUCAAGUCUCAUUCUCCCUCGGAUAUUUUUUACGAUUUCAUCUUCAUCUUCACCAUCAUCAUUAUCAUCUUUCUUUCUUCCCAAUCUGUCUCUCUCUCCUAGGGUUUCAUCAUCUUCGUAAAGAUGUCUAGUGCUUUGGAUAUGUCACUUGAAGAUCUGAUCAAGAACAACAAAAAAUCUGGUGGAGGUGGAGGUGGUGGAAGCAGAGGUGGAGGAGGAGGAGGAGGAUGUGGUUCAUCUGGUCCUGGACCUAAUCGUCGAUUUAACAAUCGCGGUGCUAAUCGAACCACACCUUAUUCUUUAGGAAAGGUGCGCGAAUCGAAUCGAUUCAUUCUUCUAUGCUAGGGUUUACUCAAUUUGAUCUCUUCGAUCUAUCUAUCUGUAUCUCUUCUUCUUCUACUACUAUGUAUUUCCUUUGAUGAUGAUCAUGAUGGAGUAAAUUUUCGAUUGAAUCAGCCUGUUCAAGCACCAGAGACUAUUCACAAACCAGUCUGAAAGUGAUCUAAUCUCAAUGACGACGAAGAAGAAACAUUCGUUCGGGAAGCAAGAUUUGUUACUUAUUAUUGUUCUAGUAACAAUUUUAAUGGCAGAUGGAGUUGCAAGCAUUAGAUUGCAACAACAAUCACCCUUAGAUGGAAGAAGAAUGAUCAUAUUUCCAGAUUCAAAAGAACAAUCCACCACUAGUACUAAUUAUCAAACACCUUUAAAAACUGCGGUUUUCGCUCUCGGAAGCUUUUGGAGAUCUGAAGCUGUGUUUGGUUGUUUGAAUGGUGUUGUAAGGACUACUGUUGGAUAUGCUGGUGGUUCUAAAAUCAAUCCUGAAUUUAGAAGCUUGGGAGAUCAUGCUGAAUCUGUUCAGGUAUUUUUCUUUUCUUUUUUUAUUAUUGUUUAUAUUUUAAUUAACUAAGAUUAAAACCCAGAUUCUUGAAUGUCUUGAAGUUAAUCUUUUCCACAGAUUGCUCGAAUUUUGCAAUAUAGACCCAUCAAAAUGUUACAAUCUGGAAAGUAUUGACUAUUGCGUCGAAAAAUCUUAUUGAUUUGACACCCCUUAUGAAAAUGCAAGUAUACAUUACUCAAACAGUCACUAUUUUAUUUGUCAAUAAAACAAAAAAUUAUGAUCGGAAACACCUUUUGUGUAGAAUUAAACAUCCUCUAAAUGAGAAUACCUCACUAUUCAACUCCAACCACAAGUUCCGCACUUCCUCAUAAAAGCAAAGAGGACAAGUUUUUCUAAUAUUUUUCAGGAAGGAAAAUCUCAUAGUAGUAACUUUUGUACCGAAACUCGAAUAAGAUGAGAAAGACAUGAUUCAUGGAUAUUUCUACCUGGAAGCACAAAGGCUCUCCACAGAAAUUUAUGUAUGUGAAUACGUAGUCAGUGUUAUCAUACUAGAAACACAAGAAUGAAUCCCGGAGGGGGGGGGGGGGGUCGACCACCGCACAUUAUUGUUGUUCUGAACUCUCCAAAUCCACUUAUAAGUAGGAUAGAGAAAAGGAUGUCCCUGAACCUGCUUGAAACCUACAUAAGGAUACUCUAAGCCACAGGAAAACAAGUCUAUUAGUAAUAAUGACAAUAAUUAAUAUCAAAAGCUUUUUUUAUUGCUCCAAAUAAAACCAGCUGUCAGUUUGGAGAUGACCAUAUGAUGGACUAAUACAGGUUCUUUCACUCGCUCACCUACACAUCGCAUAACGUGUAGUUUCUCUCAGCUCCUUGACAUCCUAAUCCACUCAAUAAUAGACCACACAUUAUGAUUACAGUUGUUUUAGGGAGAGCAAAUUAGACUGCCUACCCUGCCUACUAAAAGGAGAAUUUGGGUUGAUGACAAUAAUCUUCGGUCGGUGUAAUUAGUCCCUAGAAUAUGAUCAAGGCUAGCAAAAAGGAAAUAGUUUUUGUAAACCCAGUUAGCUGAGAUCAUCUGUAGUGAUCUUAGUAUCAUUAUGGUAGGUAUCACGAGAGGGCAAUAGGGAACCAAGCUAAGAGCGAGUAAUCAAAUGAUCUAACAAACUUCCAUCUUUGCCCAAAUGUCGUUUCAGUUAGCACCAUUCUAUUAAAUUUCACCUUGUCAUGUUUUCUGCUUAUCAUCUGAUAACAGUGGGAAUUGUAUUUCAUAUCCAUGUUUUCAUCAAUGUUUGAGGAAGAAUUCCAACUUUAAGGAAGCUAUCUAUAUUCGAAGUGCCCGUUUUUUGUUCUGAAAUUGUUCAUAGAAACUUUAGAUUUUAUGGAGUGGCUAUUACUUAAUAUGGUAUAUGGUACUUACUUGAUACUUGUACUCAUUUCAUUUAGUUAAGCACAUUGUGAUCAUCUGGAUCACAUUUGUUCAUAAAACCCCAUGUUUGUUUCAUGACUCCAGUAGAAUCCUAUACAUUUCUAUUUGGUGUCCUUUAUAUACUUCUUCUGUGAUGAAUUAUAAAACAUGGUUCAUGGUAGUGGAUACCGUGGUGUUUCAUUGCUUGUAUAAAUAGGUUCAGAAAGGACCAAUUCCAAAUUGACACAGUAAAACCUUGAUGCUAGAUUGGCUUGGCUAGGGUUUUUCAUUUUCUUUUGCUUUGACCAGGGAUUUGUACCCAGUCUUUGCAAUUUUCGAUAUGAAUAUACUGCUCGUUUAUCUCAAAAUAUAAAUAAAGUGCUACUUUGUUAACUCCUAGUUAAGUUCAGAUAUUGAUUCCUGUGGUUGAAUUCAAGCUUAGAUGUAAAGCUGUCAUAUAUUCUUCCAUCUGCAAGUUUCUAAAGUUGUAUACCCUUCUGCAUGUUUAUACAUGUGUGUAUUGUGGAGUUUGGUCAAAUCAGUAGGUUCUCUUAAUAUGUUUGUCCUCUUUUAUUUUAUUUUCUUUGUUGCUUGAGUAUAUAUUAUAUACUUGAAUUGUUCUAAGAUGUUGUUUCUGCUGUGCAGAUUGAAUAUAAUCCAAGAAUGAUUCAUUUCAGGCAACUUUUGGACGUUUUCUGGUCUAGUCAUGAUUCCAGGCAAGUUUUUGGACAAGGACCUGAUGUAGGCAACCAGUACAGGUAGAAUCUCAAUAAACUUUAUCGUUGUGUGUUUGUGUGUGGGUGAUCCAAUCAAGCUCUACUCACUUGUGAAAUGUGAUUCAUUGUAAGGUCAAUAAUUUUCACUAAUGGAACUGAAGAGGUGAGGUUGGCAGCUGCAAGUAAAGAAAGGGAACAGACAAAAUCUAGGAAUAGUAUUGUGACUACACAGAUUCAACAGUUGGGAACAUUCUAUCCUGCUGAGCCUGAACAUCAGGUAAUUUCUUGAUUUUUUUAUUUUUUUAUUUUUUGAUUGGCAAGCAGGGUUGAGGGGGACCCUUACCCCUUUAAUUACGUGUGGAAACUUAUAUCAACAAUCAGCUGUUGACGUGUUUCGAACCCACAACCUCUCCACUUUGUGAGAGGGGUGCUACCAUUGAGCCACAGGCUCAUUCGCUUUCUUCAUAUUUCAUUGUUCUCAGUGUGUAGUUUCUAUAAAGGAUUUGCAUUUGACUUUGUGUUUGUUAUUUUGUUGAGCCUGUAAUUUUAGAUUUUAGAUUCUGUUAGGCAAAGUAUUAAAAUGUAUAGGAAGUUAUGAUAUUGGGUACUUUGCCACCCUCCCAUCCCCCGGCUUAGUGUAAUAUAUUUCUAACCACCCUUUCAUUAUGAAACUUGGCAGAAGUUUGAGCUCAAGCGAAACCCCUUCCUUCUCCAAUUGAUUGGAAACAUGCCGGAAGAAGAGCUUACAAGUUCAAGCCUGGCAGCAAAAUUAGAUGGUUAUGCAGCAGAGCUUUGCCCGCCAAAGAUCCAGAAGCAGAUUGAUUCUAAGAUCAAUGACAUUCUCAGAAAGGGUUGGCCAAUAUUGAGAGAAGUAUAACGAAUGAGAUCCAACAGAUCUUGCUCUGGUUGAACCAGUAGAUUAAUAUAUGUUUUUGCUUGCAAGUGAGCAUCUAUCCAUCAAAUGGCUUUGUAAGUGUAUAGUUCAGUACAUAACAUGAAGAGAUGUUUAGGAUUUAAUUUUUGUUUACAUCUUUUGAAUUCAAGAUCUGAGGAGAUAUAAUAAAUACACCAUCUUUACAGUUCUGGAUAAUUUAUAUUGUAUGCAUUUUUUUUUCUUUUUCGGAAUAAGAAUACUAUUUGCGAAAUCCCUGUCGUUAUUGUGCUACUUGAACAUUCCCACUUGUGGUAUAAACCUCUUUGUUGGCUGCUGGUCCGGCAUAGGAACAGGAAAGAGAUUUCUUGCUGGUGCAGGUUUGCCCCUCCUCCCAUAGUAACCGAUGGCACCUAUCAGCACCGUAACAUUUUUACAACCACACUAUCAAAUGUAACAGCAAAACUCCUUCCUUUCCACAAUCAGGCGUGAUUUAAGAAAGAAAAAGGAAAAAAAAAUCAUAGUAAAUGGCUUCGCCCGGCACCUAUCGGCACCGUAACAUUUUUACAACCACAAUGUCAAAUGUAACAGCAAAACUCUUUUCUUUCCAGAAUCAGGCGUGAUUUAAGAAAGAAAAGGGAAAAAAAAUCACAGUAAAUGGCUUCGCCUGGGCUCGAACUGAAGACCUUCAGUGUGUUAGACUCACGUGAUAACCAACUACACCACGAAACUGCCUUGAUGUACUUCUAAAUUUAACAUAUAUAUUCAACUAAUACUAACGAACCGACUUUCCACAUAAGUAUAUACAUAACAUAAUCCAUUUCCAUUCCGUAAAACAAAACCCUAAAAAUCGUCAUUCUCCGCAACUUCUUUCUCUCAAUUCUCAUUCUCCCUCAAAUAUUUUUUACGAUUUCAUCUUCAUCUUCACCAUCAUCAUUAUCAUCUUUCUUUCUUCCCAAUCUUUCUUUUUCUCUCUCCUAGGGUUUCAUCAUCUUCGUAAAGAUGUCUAGUGCUUUGGAUAUGUCACUUGAAAAUCUGAUCAAGAACAACAAAAAAUCUGGUGGAGGUGGAGGUGGUGGAAGCAGAGGUGGACGAGGUGGAGGAGGACGUGGUUCAUCUGGUCCUGGACCUAAUCGUCGAUUUAACAAUCGCGGUGCUAAUCGAACCACACCUUAUUCUUUACGAAAGGUGCGCGAAUCGAAUCGAUUCAUUCUUCUAUGCUAGGGUUUACUCAAAUCUGAUCUCUUCGAUCUAUCUUUAUCUCUUCUUCUACUAUGUAAUUGCUUUGAUGAUGAUCAUGAUGGAGUGAAUUUUCGAUUGAAUCAGCCUAUUCAAGCACCAGAAACAGCAAGGCAACAUGAUAUGUUUACAGAUCCAGUUGCUCUUGCUGCUGCUGCUAAUGCUGCUGCUUUUCCUGGACAAGUUGCUGCUCGAGGUUCUGCGAUCGAGACUGUGAUUUUUUUUCCUUUUUCUUUAUAUCCGAUACACAAUUAACGAAAUAUACUAACAAUAAGAAGUGGUUAUAUGAGUUUUGAACAAAAACAUGCACUUAAAAAGAUGUAUUUCGCAAAAUGCUC